AACAGGAUUAGAUACCCUGGUAGUCCACGCCGUAAACGAUGUCUACUAGCCGUCGGCGAUCUUGUAUUGUUGGUGGCGCAGCUAACGCGAUAAGUAGACCGCCUGGGGAGUACGGCCGCAAGGUUAAAACUCAAAUGAAUUGACGGGGGCCCGCACAAGCGGUGGAGCAUGUGGUUUAAUUCGAUGCAACGCGAAGAACCUUACCUACUCUUGACAUCCUCGGAACUUGGCAGAGAUGCCUUGGUGCCUUCGGGAGCCGAGUGACAGGUGCUGCAUGGCUGUCGUUAGCUCGUGUCGUGAGAUGUUGGGUUAAGUCCCGUAACGAGCGCAACCCUUGUCCCUAGUUGCCAGCGGGUUAUGCCGGGAACUCUAGGGAGACUGCCGGUGACAAACCGGAGGAAGGUGGGGACGACGUCAAGUCAUCAUGGCCCUUACGAGUAGGGCUACACACGUGCUACAAUGGCCGGUACAGAGGGCAGCGAAGUCGCGAGGCGGAGCAAAUCCCUUAAAACCGGUCGUAGUCCGGAUUGCAGUCUGCAACUCGACUGCAUGAAGUCGGAAUCGCUAGUAAUCGCGGAUCAGAAUGCCGCGGUGAAUACGUUCCCGGGCCUUGUACACACCGCCCGUCACACCAUGGGAGUGGAUUGCACCAGAAGUGGCUAGCUUAACCUUCGGGAGGGCGGUCACCACGGUGUGGUUCAUGACUGGGGUGAAGUCGUAACAAGGUAACC
rnacentral:rRNA from 1 species